rnacentral:rRNA from 1 species
AUGCCAAACCAGGGUCAUGGUUACCAGGUAUCUUCUAAAGGUCAACAGGUCUCAGGUGAUCCAUGGAACAAUAUUCCUUGCCAAAGUUUUCAGCCGAUGCUCAAGUACACUGGAGAUGGAGUUCAACCACCAGUACAAACUUCUAUCAAUUUCAGGGAUAAGCCGUACAGUGGAGGGGAUUGUGUGACAGUCCAAGGAAGCCUCGGGCAGAACGCAAUUUUCUCAGAGCAGAAAAAGAAAAAGAAAAAAAUGGAGGACUUUCCUAGCGUCUUCGUUCUAAAAAAAAUGGAGGACUUUCCAUGCAAGAUGGAUAUGUACAUCUCUUUUUUUGGGUGA